rnacentral:rRNA from 1 species
UACAGAGGGUGCGAGCGUUAAUCGGAAUUACUGGGCGUAAAGGGUGCGUAGGUGGUUACGUAAGUUAGGUGUGAAAGCCCCGGGCUUAACCUGGGAAUUGCGCUUGAUACUGCGUGGCUAGAGUAUUGUAGAGGAAAGUGGAAUUUCCGGUGUAGCGGUGAAAUGCGUAGAUAUCGGAAGGAACAUCGGUGGCGAAGGCGACUUUCUGGACAAAUACUGACACUGAGGCACGAAAGCAUGGGGAGCAAACAGG